UUUAAUUGAAAUAUUUAGUGUGGUGCAGACUAUGUAAAAUCAAAUCAAUGUCCUCCAACUGGUUUGUCUAUAAUACCAAAUACUAAGUAUGUAUCAGUUGAUGGUGAUGCUGAUAGAAUAAUUUAUUUUUUCAUUGAUGAAACCAAUACUUUUUAUUUAUUGGAUGGGGAUCGUAUUGCUACUUUAGUGGCUGGUUACCUUAAAGAACUAAUUAUGGCUUCUGGUCUUAAUAUUAACAUAGGAUUAGUUCAAACUGCUUAUUCAAAUGGAAAUUCAACAAAUUAUAUUUCUAAUGAAUUGAAAGUUCCUGUUGCAUGUGUUCCUACUGGUGUUAAAUAUCUUCAUCACACAGCAAAAGAUUAUGAUAUAGGUGUUUAUUUUGAAGCUAAUGGACAUGGUACAUUAGUCUUUAAAGAAUCAGUUGGAAUUUUAAUUAGAGAAGAAUUAUUAAAACAAAAGAAUGAGUAUGGUUGUUUUCAUU